GAAAAAAAAAAGACAUUUUGGUUUGUCUCUCAUCCUCUGUCGUUUCCUCCUCCUUCUCUUGUCCUCUCUUAGAAAAAAAGAAAAAAAAAGAAAAAAAGAAUUCUUCUUCUCAAAUGGGUUGCCGUAUCUGUAAAUCUCACUGCCAUUCCUUCGGCAUCCUCAUUUACUCACCGCUGAAUGUCUCUUAAAGUAUCAAAUCGUUUUGAUUUUGUUUAAGGAAAGGAUCAAACAAAACCCUAAUUCUCUGCCAUUGUUUUGUUCCCCUUUUUCUUUGUUGAUUUUUUUUAGAGAAUUUUGAAUUUCGUUCUUCAUUUUCAUUCGCUACAACGUUGGCAACACAUUUGUUCUGGUGUGGUUCCAAUUUUAUUCUUUUUUCCUAGUGGCACAGAAAGUGUUUGUGCUAAUGCCUCAUAGGGAUUCGGUUUUUCCAAACUUGUUGUGGCUUUGUGUUAUGAUAAUUAGGGGUUGUGGGUUCUUGUUAGUGUGGUGCUGAGAUUUGAUUUUUGUUUAUUUAUUUAUGUUUGGGAUUUCACUGGCUAGCAGAGGAGAAGGCCACACCUGGGUAUUUAAGGGGAAAGGCUUUUUAUAAAGAAAGAAAAUUUUCUGCUAUGUCCCAACUCCUAAGGACGGCACGGGUACAGAGUUGCUGUUAUUUUGUUUCAUUUUCAUUUCUUUUCUAUAUGGAGUACAUUUAUUUAAUUACACAACACUGGUAUUUUUAGGGGUAGAGAGUAUGUCGGUUUGGUUGCUUCCCUGAGUCUGUUGAAAAAGAAAAGAGCAAGUUGUAAUUACGUUGCUGCUACAGCAGCUUUGAGUCAAAGUUUGAAUUUUGUUUUGAGUAGUUGUUUUCUAGUUCUAGAGUUUUAAGAGCUUUUGUGUAACUUGUGUUGCAUUCCAGCAUGUACAGAAUUUGGUUUUUUUUUUUUUGUACUUUUUGCAUGCUAUUUACCUUGUUUUGGGAAUAGCAUCUCAGUUUGUUUCUGGUGCCAGUGCUAAUAGAAUUUUCUGCUGAUUUUUCAAAAAAAAAAUUGAAGGGAUUGCAUAUCAAAAUAAUGAAAUUUUUAUAUAUCCCGUAAUUUUCAUAUUGACAAUGUUGAAUCUACCAGUGGCAUUUCUAGAUGGCUAAAUAAGGCAAAGAGAAUGCUGCUCGUGAUGCUGGUACUUAAUGACAAGGUUUUUUAUGACUUUCACAAGGCACUGUGCGUGAACAGAUCAAAAAUCAUCAUCUCAUUUGUUUCUAUCAGAAGCAUGAAAUAUUGAAAUUAAAGAAUAUUUCAUUUAGAAAGUUUGUUAGGCUUAUGCACGUCUCAUAUUUCCUAAUUUUCGUUUAAAAAACCGUUCUCAUUGAAUCUAGAUUAAGAUUAAGCCAUCUAUAGAUUCAGAGCAAUUCAGAAAUCAAACUGUUACCACAAAAAAGGGCGCGAGGCUGCAUGUAACUUUGGAAAUACCGGCCACUUAUAUGUUACUCUUUGGAGUUGUCCAAAUUGUACUCUCUCAGAUCAUUGAAAGCUUGGUAUUGUUGGAUAUCUUGUGGUGCUCUAUUAUUGUCAAAGCCUGGUGGAUCUGUUGUUUCAUUACUCAAUUGUGACAUGUUGCUACUGUUUUAAGAAGUUGUUAUAGCUUGAUGAUGUUAAUGUAUAGGUUUUGUUGUAGAUUGUGUUUUAGGAGCGGCCAGUUUUAGCUUGAUUUGUUGAGAUCAUGGCACCCUGUUGAGGGGUGUAAAUAGCCUAUAUUUUUUGUUGUAGUGGGUCUGUUGUAAACUUUUAUUUGCAAAUGUCAGUCUUAGUUUUGCUA